CAUCCCUUUAAAAUAGUCCGGAGAGGCUAGCAAGGGAACCGGCUGGUGCCGGAUAAUGGAGGUGUGUUUCAAGCCUUCCUUGCUAGCGGGGAAGGCAUUUUUAU
rfam:Syntrophothermus lipocalidus DSM 12680, complete genome.